rnacentral:rRNA from 1 species
AUUGAACGCUGGCGGCAGGCUUAACACAUGCAAGUCGAACGAGUGGCGGACGGGUGAGUAAUGCUUGGGAAUCUAGCUUAUGGAGGGGGAUAACUACGGGAAACUGUAGCUAAUACCGCGUACCAUAGGAUGAGCCCAGGUGUGCUUAGGUAGUUGGUGAGGUAAAGGCUCACCAAGCCGACGAUCUCGAGCUGGUCUGAGAGGUUGACCAGCAACAUGGGGACUGAGACACGGCCCAGACUCCUACGGGAGGCAGCAGGGGGGAAUAUUGCGCAAGGGGGGCAACCGGACGCAGCCAGGCCGCGUGAAUGAAGAAGGCUUUCGGGGUGUAAAGUUCUUUCGGUAGCGAGGCGUUAACUACAGAAGAAGCACCGGCUAACUCCGUGCCAGCAGCCGCGGUAAUAC